CUAAAACGCUUUGGGAACUUGUAAACGGUUAAAAAGUAUCUAAUCCGAUUUGUUUCCAGAUGACGCAGCAGGCUGCCAGAAUGAAGGGAGUUGCCAACGUCACACAGGAAAAGAGGGGUCCAUUUCAGGAUCAAGUCGCGUGUGCAGCCAUCACUUCUACUGUCCUCCAUCAGAGUUCAGGCUUGCUAUCCAGGUGAUGAAACCUAAUGAAACCUCCGAACACCACAGCCUAAUGGAACUCCCUGGGUGGGUAGCACGGUGUGCUAGGAGAAGUUUAUUAUUUACCUUUGUAAAGCUGAGAGCACAAUACUCAAAGGAACAACUUAAAAGAAGAGAGAUGGACUUCAGCUCACUGUUUCAGGAUGGGCUCCAUGAGGUGGGCAACAACAUCAUGGAGGAUAUGAAAGCAAAUUUCAAAAUCUCU
rnacentral:lncRNA from 1 species